GUAGUAUUCCCUCCGUCCCAAAAUUCUUGUCUUACAUUUGUUUAGAUACAGAUGUAUCUAACACUAAAAUGUAACUAGAUACAUCCGUAUUUAGACAAAUUUAAGACAAGAAUUUUGGGAUGGAGGGAGUACAAA
rnacentral:pre_miRNA from 1 species